rnacentral:lncRNA from 1 species
UUUUCCCUAUGCCUCUUUAUGUUGCUUUGGCUCAUAUGCGACUUCUAAUCUGUGAGCUUUCUAAGUGAUUAACUCUAGCGCCCAGAGCUGACAGAUCCAUAUCUGAUCCCAGUAAUAUUUUGCUUGUAUUUAAAGCUGCUUUUGUUGAAUUAUGAAGGAACCGGGAGCUGAAGGUGAUUCAAUCUCCAAGAUGCUCGAGGACAGCAUACGACUGAUAUGGGAAAAGUUCUUAUGCUGCGAACGGUUUCCAACAUGAUCAUUCCAAUUUUAACUCUCUUUUCAUCCUCUUCAGCAUGGAAAGGGGGAGAGCCCCAUCUUGUCUGGAUCCUAUCCCAUCACGAGGCGCUGUUUGUCCGAAUUCUCUCCUCUCUGUUAAUUCUAGGCCUCUUUACAUCUCUUUUUCUUUAUUUCUUUGCUUUGCUUUGCUUUCUUUCUUUUAUAUUUGGAUGGUUUGAGUGUUAGUUUUUGAGAAUAGACGCUGGAAAAACAAAAAAGAAGAAGAAAGAUUGUGGGUGUGGUUUUCCGAGUAUUUGAGGGAGAGGUUGAUGUCUUUAUGUAAUUAACAAAUGCAAAAUGUUAAAGAGAUAUGGAUGUUUUCCGAGAAUAGAUGCCAUCAAUGCGUAAUCUUCUUUGUAAAAGCAAUUACCUAUAGAAGUGCAUUAAUGAACCAUGUUAAAACAAAUGAAAAGUCAGGGUAUUUUUUAAAAAUAUUUUUUAUUUUUUAAUAUUAAUAUGUCAAAAUUAUCUAAAAAUUUUAGUAUCAAUUAGAUGCUUUUUUGGAUGUACAAGAAAAUAAUUUUAAAAAACAAUUAGUAACGUAAAAACAAACAAUAAAACAUUACAAAUAUUUGAGACUACUUAUUCCAUGGAGCUGAAAAGGACAAAUUUUGUAGUCCCCACUGAAGAAUCUUAGAAGAAAAGUAAUAUUUAUAAUAUUAAUAAUAAUAUUAAACUUGCAUGGACUAAAUUUAAGUGGGUUUGACUGCAAUACCAGACCCAAUAGUAUUGGACGUGGGUCUAGCUGCAAGGUCGUGUCAUAAAUGUGUGAUGAUUAAAUAGAUUAGUUAAAAAGAAAAAAAAUAAAGAAAAAAAACCAACAGAAAAAUAAAAACUAAUGAAGAAAAAGAAAAAAAAUAUGAAUUAACUGGGUUAACCCUUCAAACCAGGUUAACCCGUCAUACUUUGAAUUCGCAUCGUGAAAGUUUGAUAAUUAAAAAGGAAAAAAAAACAAACUAAUGGGUUAACCCAGAAUUAACUGGCCUAACUCGUCAAACCAGGUUAACCUGUCAAACCCGGAAUCCGUGUCAUGAAAGUUUAAUAACUAAAUAGAAAAAAAAAUUAACAUUAACAAUUUAAAUUAAACAAAAAAAUUAAUUAGAAAGAAAAAAAACAAAAGGAUGAGCCUUUUUACUGAGGACUAUACUGUGCAGUCCACAGUCAAAUGCAUAAAAACAACAAAAAAAAACUAAAGGCAUCGGCCGAGAACUACUUAGAAAAAAAAUUAAUAUUAAUAAACUAAAUUAAUUAAAAAGAAAAAAUAAAAGAAAAAAACCUCUAAGAAGAAAAAAAAACUAAAUAGAAAGAAAUUUAACAUUAACAAACUAAACUAAACGAAAAAAAAUAAUUAAAAAGAAAAAAAAGCAAAAAAAAAAAUUUCAGGUUAACUCGUCAAACCAGGUUAACCCGUUAAACCCGGGAUCCGUGUCAUGAAUGUCUGGUAACUAAAUAAAAAAAAGUGAACAUUAACAAACUAAACUAAACGAAAAAAAUUAAAAAAAAAAAAUUAAAAAAAAUCCGGGUUAACUCGUCAAACCAUAUUAACCCGUUAAACCUAGGAUCCGUGUCAUUAAAGUCUGAUAACUAAAUAAAAAAAAUUUAACAUUAAAAAACUAAAUUAAUCAAAAAAAAAUUAUGAAAAUAAAAAACAAAAAAAAAAUUGACGGGUCAACCCAGAAUUAACCAGGUUCACCCGUGAAACCAGGUUAACCCGUGAAACUCGAGAUAUGUGUCAUGAAAGUCUGAUAACUAAAUAGAAAGAAAUUUAACAUUAACAAACUAAAAUAAAUGAAAAAAAAUUAAUUAAAAAGAAAAAAAGCAAAAUAAAUAUAUUUUUGACGGGUCAACCCAGAAUUAACUGGGUUCACCCGUGAAACCAGGUUAACCCGUGAAACUCGAGAUAUGUGUCAUGAAAGUCUGAUAACUAAAUAGAAAGAAAUUUAACAUUAACAAACUAAAAUAAAUGAAAAAAAAUUAAUUAAAAAGAAAAAAAGCAAAAUAAAUAUAUUUCUGGGUUAACUUGUCAAAUCAGGUUAACCCGUUAAAUCCGGAAAACGUGUCAUGGAAGUCUGAUAACUAAAUAAAAAAAAUUUAACAUUAAUAAACUAAAUUAAACAAAAACCUUUUGUUAGAAGAAAAAAAAUAAAGAAAGAAGCAAAAAAAAUAAUCUCGAAAGGCAUAAAAAAACAGCUAAAAAAAAUAAGACAACUUAAAAAAAAAAAACCAAAAACAAAUCAGUGUUUUACUGUGGACUGCACUGUGCAGUCCACAGUAAAACACUGAUCCGUUUUAGUAUAUGUUACAAUUAAUUAAAAAGAAAAGAAAAAAGAAUUCGGGUUAACUCGUCAAAUCAGGUUAAUCCGUCAAACUCGGGAUCCGUGUUAUGAAAAUUUGAUAACUAAAUAAAAAAAUUAAGAUUAACAAUUUGAUAACUAAAUAAAAAAAUUAACAUUAACAAACUAAAUUAAACAAAAAAAAUUCAUUAAAAGAAAAAUACACAAAGAAAAAAGCUAAAAAAAAACCCAUAAAGGCAUAGAAAACCAAAAAAAAAAAACAAAAAAAACAAAAAAAAAACAGAAAAAAAUGGGAAAAAAUAAAAACAAAAUAAAAACGAAAAAAAAAAGAAAAAAAAAGGGAAAAAAAUAAAAACAGAAAAAAAAAUGGGAAAAAAAACGAAAAAAAAAAGAAAAAAGAAAAAGGAGAGGACUUUUUUCUUAAUUAGAUGCUUUUUUGGAUGUAGAAGAAAAUAAUUUUAAAAAACAAUUAGUAACGUAAAAACAAACAAUAAAACAUUACAAAUAUUUGAGACUACUUAUUCCAUGGAGCUGAAAAGGACAAAUUUUGUAGUCCCCACUGAAGAAUCUUAGAAGAAAACCCUCCCAACAAAGUAAAUCAAACCCUCUUAGUGAAGUAGUAGCUCAAUUGAGUGUGUGUCUGUGUCCCUUUCCCUCUUUAUUCGUUCUUAAGAAUGUUAGAAGAAAGAAUGAUGAGCUCUGAGCUCUUUUCUGAAGUUGUUCAAACCCUUCGUAGAUAAGUAGCUUUGAUUGAUUGCGUCCCUUUUUCCCUCAUUCUUAUUGAAAAAAUCAAAAGAAAAAAGAUCAAAUUUAAAUUAAUAUUAUUCUUAUUAAAAAAACAAAAACAAAAAACAUGAUAUAAAGAAUAAAAUUAAAAAUCAUAAAAAGUUUGACAAAAGAGCGAAGAAAAAAAAGGAAUUAAAAGUAAAAGAAUCAAAUUGAAAAAUAUUAUAUAUACAAAUUAGAAUUAAAGGAUUAAAUUGAAAACAAAUAAAAUUUGAACAACAAGGAAAAAGACUAAGAUAAAAAAUCAAAGCUAAAAGGGUUUAAUCUAAAACACCAACAACAAUAAGGACCAAAAUUAAUUUUCUACGGUCGGAGAGAGAAAUGAAGGAAAAAAAAAGAAGGAAAGGCCACUGGUAAUAAACCGGCCACCUUUAAAUGCCACACACCACCAAUAUAGAAAAAGGAUAUGAAGAAGAACCAAAUAAGAUGGUAGAAGCUUAUUUUCCACCACUAGAAGACGCCGCACGUGCCACCCAAAGCACAUAACGUCUCCUACAUGCUGGGGCAUCCGAGGCAAAUAUCAACAACUUUUUGCAUUUAAAAAUUAUAAAUUAAAUGGUAAAUUACAUUACUACCCUUAACCAAACCAACAAUUACAAAAAAAAAACCGAGAUAAAAAGAUGCCAAUACCCCUGUUUUAAUGGCUUAUUUUUUUUGUCCCUGAGGUCAUACAUAAUCUUACUAUAUUUUAAAAAGAAAAGACAAUAACACCCCUGCCCUACAAUGUUAGCUUUUUAUUUAUUCCAGGGGUAUUUUGGUUCUUUUACUGCUCAUAAAUAUAUUGUAUAGACAAAAACACCCCUAAAUAAAUCUAUAAUGACUAAUGCACUGUAUUAAAAGAUAAAAAUACCCUCGAUACAAAGGCAAUUAAUUUUUCUUGUGAAGGACAAAAAAGUCAUUACACUAUAGUGGUGAAUAUAAAAAUAUAAAUGGGGCUACAAUGUUUUUGAAUUAUGUUUUAGUUGUUUUGUUAUUCUCCAAUUAAUAUUGUAAUAAUAUAUUAGCCACAUAACACAAUCACUUUACACAAAAUCUAUUUUGGUUUUUAUCUUUUUAGAAAAAAAAGAGUGAAUUUUAUUUUACUUCUUGCAAGGACACAAGAAUCUAUUAUGCAACUAAAAAAUUGCUUGUGUUGUUAAGUUGCCCAUAAUUAUCUCUGCUUGUUCUCUUUGUAGUUAUUCUUGUUACAUUUUUCCAGGAAGCUUCCUAAACUAGGCAUAUAAUUCUUUAAUAAGCCUCUUAGUAUUUCAACAACACUACCUUAAAAAAAAUACACUUCUUUUAAAGAUCUACAAACUUAAUGUGAUGGACUUAUUUUUUCUCUCUAUAAAAACAGAUUCCUAAGAUCUAGAAUAGAAAAAAUAAAUAUAAGAACAAUACAAAGAAUUAUAUGAAUUACAUAAUUCAUGAUUGUUAAUUAAUUAUGAUGAAUGUUCAUUGAUAAAUAUAUAUUUAUAUAACUUGGGAACCAAAACAUGAAUUACUCAUAAUUCAUGAAUGUUAAUUAAUUAUGAUGAACGUUCAUUAUUUAUUUUAAGAACUAAAAAGUUACUAUCAAAUAGAAACUUAAUAACAAAUAAUAUUUUUCAUCAAUCAAAUUCAAGCUCAAACUUAUGAGCUCAUAAACCCACUGCUCAAUCCACAAAACUAUAUUGGGUUUAAAAAUUUUAUCAUCUAAAGGUUCUUUUAGAAUAAUUUCUUAUUCGUAUUUAAUUGGUUUUUAAAACAUAUUAAUAUUUCAUAUUAAAGAACUCAUGUUGAAUUACAAAAUUUAACAUGGUUUUAACUCUAAAAAUGUGUGAACCUCACAUUUAAUUUGACAUUAAAGUACCCAUUACAUGUUUUAUAAAACCAAUUCCAACAAAUACCAGUAAUACCAUCGUCAAACACAAAUUCUCAUCUCUAGAAACAUAUAAAUACUAAAAUUUUGACCAUUUCAUUAUUGGAAUUGAAAGGCAUAUAGAUUUGAAAUUUUAAAUCUAAAAAAUUUAAAAAAUGUAUUAAUUGGUUGCUUAAAAUAAAUUUUGAAGUUAGAUUUCCUAUUACUUGGAGAAAUAUUACCAAAAACAAUAUAUUUAAAAGGUAGCUAAUGAAGAAAAAAUUAGGAUGGAUGCAUAAUUUGUUGGAUAAAUGUGUGUGUAACUAUUUUUUUGCUUCAAACAACGAAAUACAUUUCUUAAUAUUCCCCCGUUUAGUGAAAAAGAAGGUAUAACUUUUACUUGGUCAUUUUGGGUUUGCCAAUAACUGAGUUUAUUCUAGGCAUUUUGUGGGAUUCCAUGGUGGUGUUCUUCAUGUUCUUGAGAAGAACAUUGCUUUAGCUUUAUGAUUUGGAUCCAUUACGGUCCAAUUGUUUGCACAAAACCUUCAGGCAAUUUAUUUAGCAAAUUAUCUAGGGUGAGAACAUAUCAAUAAUAUAUGCAUUUAGAUCCUAGGUUUUCUUUGGCUACCCAUAAUAUAUUUUGACCAAAUCAUGGAUUUUAAGUGAUAAUCGAUGGUUUUUUAUGCUUGAUUCUUGAUUUAUGCUUGAUUGUGAACAAAACCAUGUCUUUUAUUGUUCAAGAUCUGAUCUGGUUUGAGAGUUGUGUUUAUUGGGUUCUUGAUACAUGUUCUUCAUUUUUAUGUGUUUGAUCCAUUUCAAUAAAAAAAAUUUAAGCUUUUAUGUUUUUCUAUUGUUGGAUCUGUUUCGGUCCUAAAUCAAUGUUUUAGAGUAAACUCGGUCGGGUCAACACAGUCAGAUCAGCUCGGUCGGGUCAACCUAGUUAGGUCAAAACCGGGUUACUCCUUAGGCCUUCUUUGGUUUGCUGUUAUUUUUGUUAAGGUUUAUUUGGUUUAAGUAUGUGUUUGGUAAACAUCCUUUAGACUUGUUUUAGGUAGUUUUUAUUUCAAGAAAAUUUGUUUUUCUUUUGCCAAAUGUGGUUUUAGAAAAUAAUAAUAAUAAUAAUAAUAAUAAUAAUAAUAAUAUAGUAAUAUGAAAAUGUCUUUUUGCAUAUUGUAUACAACCAAGUCUCUUCAAAAUACAAAAAUCAUAUCUUUUUAAAAAUAAAAAUAAAAAUAUAUGGUAUGCUUUAUUUUUUUAGUAUGCAUUUUGGAUUUAAUAACCAAUUUAUUGAAUCCAUGAGAAUUUGACUAAUAUUUCAAUAACUUAUAAAAUUUUAAUUCAUGAGAAUUAAUAGUUUAUAUUCUGGUAUAAAUGUUAGACUUACAAAUAAAUUGACAUUUAAAUAUCAGGAAUUGACUAGAAAAUUCAUAGAAUUAUUUUGAAUAUUUAUCAAUUUUAAUUGAGAAUAUUUUUCACCACAACGCAUGACUUGUGGAAAACCCACUCAUCUUCCAAGAUAGGUGAACCCUGUUAAGGCACCUACAUAAAUCCUUUUCAUAAGAAUUUGUUCAGGUACAUGAGUUCAUAAUAAAUUCGAAACACCAGAUUUAUUCACACGAAUAAAUCUCUAUCCUAAGCCAUAGACAAACUACUGGUUAGAAACCUAUCAAAACUUUUAAACCACAUUCAAACCAUACAAUGCAACUUAUCUCAAGUAGGGUACGUUAGGGGUGCUAAUAUCUUCCAUAACUACAACUAGUUCCUUACUCUUGAAAUUUCUGAUAAGACUAGUAUACUCGGGUUUUCUAGCAACUCUGAACCAAAUAACUAGGUGGCGAAUCCCUUGACCCCCAAACACCAUUCGCCCAUGUGUGGUAAUCAAGGUUGUUGACUUGCCUAUACCUAAAAACAUCAAGCAAUUGCGUGGUUUUCUAGGUUUUACUGGUUACUACAGAAUAUCUGUUAAAGUUUAUGGGUCUAUAUGCAAGCCAUUGACACAAUUACUGAAGAAUGAUGUAUUUUAAUACACUGAAGAAGCACUAUAGGCUUUCAGACAUCUAAAGAUAAUGAUGACCUAGCCCUUGUCAUAUACCUACCAUAUAUAGCUAGCUUCCAAUCCUAACCCUACUAGAUCUCAACAAGUCAUUUGUAAUGUAAACACAUUUGUACUAAUACAAGAAUGGCAUUUAAUAACCUAUAUUAGCAAAGCUUUGGGCCAAAACAACAAGCUUUAUCUACCUAUGAAAGAGAAAUGAUAACCAUCUUACAUGUAGUUGCAAAGUGGAGGCAUCACUAAUAGGGUAAGCAUAUUAAGAUUAAGAUAGAUCAUGUCAGUAUGAUGGGAACCCCAUAAAUAUAAAGAUCUAAAAACCCAUAAUCAUAUCAAUUUUUUUUCAAGAAAGCUAAACUCAGGUUUUAAGAUUGACACAAUGAUAACCUAUACCGAAACACCAAACUAUAAGUAAUCGAAAAACUCUCAUCCAACGCCUAUAAAGAGACGCAAACGAGUAGUUUGGAAGAUACCAUGAAGUUUGAUCAAUACUUUGAUACGUCAAAGUAGUUCAAUGAAAAAUAAAAAAAGUAUGAUCACCUCUCUCACAUAAUAAUAAUUAUUGAAAUCAAAGUCUAUAGAAAAAAAAAACUAAAUACAUGCUAAAUAAUCAUAUUAUAAUAGGUAAAAACAUUUUAAACAAUGUUAGAAAAAUAACAAAAGAGUUAUAAAUAAAAUAGAAAAAAAAUCCUAAGUCAACUAUGAAACCAAUAUAAUUCCUGCACAAUAGCUUAUGGACCUUAUUGUACGACCUUCUCAAUGUUAAGCAAUAAUUAUUUUAAUUGUUUUAAAUCAAUAAAAUUGAACUUUAUUUUAUAAAAUCAAGUAUCAAUCGCAAGUCAAAGUUUUUCCUUGACAUUGUGGGAUCCCAUAUUUAAACAAUAAAAAAACAUUCUUAUGUCUAACCCCAAAUAUACUCAAUAUAAGUGAAAAACAUUUAGUGACCAAAAAAAAGGGGGAGUUAUCUACCCCUUGGCUGUGUAAUUUAGUGAUUGAUUACUUCAAGAAAAAAAUGACUAUAUAUUAUUCUAUUGUUCAAAUUCAAUCUUCCAUUAUUUUAAAUUACUAAUAUUUCAUUUAAUUUUACCAAAUCAAAAUCCAUCAAGCAACAAAAUCUUUUAUCAACACCCUAAGAUCCAAUAAUGUAGGCAAACAAAACAAAUCACCAAGUUCAAUCUCAAAUAAACGCGACCUUAAAAGAAUGAAUAUAAACAAUAGAGGGAUCAAAAUAAAAAAUAACCCAAUUUAAAAAAGAAAAUAUUGUUUAAUACUAUUAAAUUAAAAAAAAAACCAAAAAGAAGUGAUGUUUUUAUUGUGCAUACCUCAUAAAACACUAUUUAUUGCAAUAAUGUUUUUAUUUUGAAAUUUGUUUUUUAAUCUAUAUUGUUUUUUAAAAAAUUUCAAUUCACAUCUAAUUUAUUGAAAAUUAGUAUUUAUAAUUUGUUAUAAUUUAUUUUUUUUAUAAUUAUUAAAAUUUCAUAUUUUAUAUCUUGAAUUUCACAAAUUAAAUUGUAUAACUAAAGUUUUUUCUUUUAAUGUUAUGGAAUCUAUCAUUGGUUAAUAAUAAUAUGAUUUAACACUAUUAAAUAUAUAGUACAUCAACAUUAUACAACCAUCUUGCCAUGUCCUUCUUUGCACUAUGCUCCUUCUCUUUAGAAGCCAUUACACCUUUAAUGCUAGGUAUAAAUCAACUUUCAUGUAAUUGCACUCAUGCCGUGCAUUUUCAUCCUUUUAAUUUCUUGGGAACUAUAUCACUUGAAGUAGGAUUUGCACCGUCAUCUUUUUAGGGUUCAUCAUUGAAACAGUUGAGAAACAUCAAUGACUAAACCAAUUUGUGCCCUAACUUGAAAUAUUUACUUCCUAGCAACCAUUCAAAUAGUACACAAAUCACAACAACCAAGAGGGUAAAAAAUAAAAAUUACUUUUAGUCAGCAAAACAACUCUAAAUUGAAAAUUUAUCAAUUCCUCAGCUUCAACAUUGUUGAGAUAUUCGUCAACAGAGUUGAAAAGAUUGAAACUUUAUGCUUUCUACUUGAACUUUAAGCAAGCAUAGAGAGUUAUUAGUGAUAUACUUACGUUGAAAAGGAUUGAUUUUGAAUUGGAAAAUCUACGGACUUAACCUAAAAACAAGAAACCCUAAAUUAUUCAUCCACCGAUAAAUAAGUAAAACAGGAAUUAGAAUAAAAGGCUUUUACUUGAUUGGAUUUCGUUGAUUUCUAAUAAUUUCUAGGAUUUGUUGAUAGGAUUACAACAAAGAGGGAGAACUAUGUGUUGUUGGUGAUAUAUGAGAGAGUUCUUUUUUUUUUUUAAUCACAUAACCAGAAUAGAAUGAGGGUGAGAAACCCAUAACAUCUUGGCUGGAAUUUGAGCAAGAAAUCCAGAAUAACCUAAGAUCUCGAGUAAGAUGAAUUUUUUUCCAUUUUGUUUUGCUUUUUAAAAUAGUACAGUAUACAUCAGUCAUUCCAAUCAAAACAAAAUAAAAUUGACAACUUCGCUAAAAACCUAAAAUCAAAUCAAUUAAAAAGAGCUUCUCGAACUUCAAUAUUUUUUUUUCUAGAAUUAUUGAAGGUGAAAAUCACCUCUAUUCAUUUUUUUCUUUCCAAGCGAAAUCUAUAAACAUUAAAAUCAAAGUGAUUAGUGGCCGGAAUCCGGCCAUCCAAGAGUUUUCUCUCUGCUAAAUUUUUUUGAUAGCUUUCUUUCUCUUCCCUCAAGAUCCAAGAGUUGAAACGUAAAAGAGAAAUUGGAAUGAAGCAAAAUAUCAAAAAUACUAGGGAGAAAAUAUUAAAAAAAAAGAUUAUAUGGAUUAAAGUGUAGUUUUAUGCACACCUGAGUUGUAUAUGUUAACUAAUGAUAAUUCAAUGUAUAGCUGUAACAGUUUGUUAUUCAUUAGGACUCAGUAGCUGCAACAGUUUGUAAUCUUAAAGAACUGGUCUUCCUGCAAAGUAGAGAAAUCGGUUAGGAUUUGUAUUUAUAUAUACGUCUUCUAUUAAUAAUAUUGGUAAGCAAUUCUCUUCCAAGCUUCAGUUCUAUCAUGGUAUCAGAGCAUCUUUGAUCCUUUAUUCAAAUUUUUUUCCCUUGUUCUUCGGUUCUGUUCCUUCCUCUUCUCCAUAACCAUGUCAACUUCAAUUCCAUCAAACACAUAAAACCACCUUAUCACCAUAAACACAGCUGCUCAAGCUCCUCUAAAACUCACCUCUUCCAACUACGCUUCCUGGAAAAUUCAGUUUGAAACACUCCUCAUUGGCUACGAUCUCCUUGGUUACAUCGAUGGCUCAAAACCGUGUCCUUCACCAACUCUCAUGACAGAUAAUAUCACUGUUCCUAAUCCUGCAUACAGUCUCUGGGUGAGGCAAGAUCAACUCCCUUUGAAUGCCAUUGUUGGCAGUCUUUCUCCUCCACUCAUCUCCUUUAUAGCACGCACCACUUCUUCUCAUGAUGCAUGGCAUGUUCUUGCCACAACAUAUGCCAAACCAUCCCGUGGACGUAUCCGCCAGGUGAAAAACCAGUUAAAAAAUCUUACAAAGGUUCUCUGAGUAUCACAGAUUUUGUCUACUUCAUCAAAGCACGAUCUGACGAACUUGCUGUUCUUGGUGCUCCCAUGGACACUGAUGAUCUUACUGAACAAAUUCUAGAUGGUUUAGGUGAAGACUACACAGAACUUGUUCGGGCUGUCCAAGCUCGCGAGGCUGCUAUCUCAUUUGAUGAACUACAUGAGAAGCUUCUCUUGUUUGAAGCAUCACUUCAAACACAGUCCCACUCCUCUCGCCUUGGUCCGGUUACUGCCAACUCCUUCACUAAGAACUCAAACAACAAUAAUUGGCGCCCCUCAACAUCCAACUGGCGCCUGUUCUAUCAGUAUAUAUGGGAAAAAGGUUGUCAAUUUUUGUCAAUAUCAAUUUUAAUCCUAGUUCUUUUAAUUUUAUUUUUACAAUAAUUAAAAAUUCAAUUAUAUUAAAUUAACCUCCGGAACAAUGUCUGACACCUUAGACAAGGUAUAAAUUUAAUAAACUUUAUUUGCCAAAUACUAUUUUCAAGUUCUAUAAAAUAUGUCUUUGAAAACUGCGGAUUUUAUUAAUAGAACCUAUUUCUUGUGGCAAAAGUGAUGCAGCAAAAGGUACUGUGAAUUUACUCUUUUUUCCUUGGCAAAAACAUGGAUGAAUGGGUCUUGGAGGGUAUAAUUGUAUCUUCACGGGAUUCUUUUGUCAUUUUAGAAUUGUUAAGAUGAUUUUUUAUUUUUUUUUCAAAUAUUUUACACAGUAAAAUUAUUUGAAUACCCUUAAAAGCAACAUCAACAAAAAAAAGAGCUAACUAUGGUCUAGGGAUAUUUUUUGUUUUUUACUUCUUUUAAUUACCCAGUUCCUUUUAUAAUCAAAAUUCUCAAAGCAUGGCUAUAUUGCUUAUUUGUAAUUUUAAAAAUAAUUUUUUAUAAUUAUUAUUUAAGCCUAGAAGCAAUGUGUUAAUUUAAUAAUAAUAAAAAAACAGCUGCUUAGACAUGCAGUUUACUACAAUAGUAGACAUUGUGAUUUCAUCGCGACAUUUGAUUCCUCUUGAUGUUUGUCAUAAAAAAACUCACAGUAGUCCUUCAAUUUCUUUUCCUUUUAGUUUUAGCCCUUGUCUUUUUAUUUUUUUUGUAAUUUUUUUUAUAAAAUUGUUUCAAAUUGAAAAUUAUUUUCAAUUUUAUCAUCCUUCAAUUUUUCAUAUCUCAAAUUUAAUCCCUAUUUUUUUAUUUUUAUUUUUAGAUGAUUUAUAAAUUUGAUUUUUUUGUUAUUUCACUCUCCUUCAUUUUUUUUCUAUCAUGUUUGAUUCUUAUGUUUUUUAUUGCUAUUUUUCUGCUUGGACAAGUUUUUUAGAUUGAUUUUUUUUUUAUUUUAUCCUUCAACAUUAAAUUGAUUGAGAAUUGAACUUCUUGAUUGAGUUUGGAUCUGAGAUUUCACGAGUUAUGAUUUUGAAAGAUUAACUCGGGUUUAGGUUAUUCACCUAGAUUUGCAUGGUUUUUCAUAUUAUUAAAUUAACCGAACUUACUAAACCCGGUUGGCUCAAAGACACAAGUCUUGAGUUUCUUUUACUUCUAUAGAAAUCCAAGCCUCGCCUAAUCUUUAUUCUUCUUACACAUCCUUUAAAAUUUGUAUUGGCUCGUGACAUUGCGUCGGCCACUGAUAUAGGUUUACUCGAGUUAUUAUUAUUAUUUUUUUUAAAUUAAUUUUUUUCAUCUUCGGCCUUCGAUAUUUGGUUCAUUAUAAUUGAGUUUUUUUAAUCUUUUUAUAUGGGUUUCAUGGCUUUAUCACAAUCUCACACCUUAUAUUGUAGGUUUCAUAGGUUAAUCAUUGCUGAUCCGGGUCGGUCUAGUAUAUCAUUGUCUCAAUAUUUUUUAAAAAAUAAUAUGUCGCUUGAUAAUUUUGAAUUAAUAUCUUUUUAGUGCUUUAAUAAUUUUUAAGUGAUAAUAUAAAAAGUAAAAAAAUAUAUAUAUUUUUAAAUAAAAAUUAUUUUUUAAAAUAUCUUCCAGACAGCUGCUCAAGUGGUUUGUAGCACUCCACGUUUUUUUUUUUUUUUGCUUGCCUGAGCAAUUUGCUGGAAUAAUUAUCUAUGGGCUUGAUGCCCCACUAUGUACUGACCUCUAACUCCAAGACGCCUCUCUCUUUUCAAUUUUAUGUUACUUUUUAAAUACUAGGAUAGAAUUGAACCAAAACCAUCUUACACUAAUCAUGACACUAAGGAACAAGUGGCAAAGUAUUUAAAGUAUUUUUUAUUUGCUUUAUAUAUAUAUAUAUAUAUAUAUAUAUAUAUAUAUAUAUAUAUAUAUAUUUUAUAUGUUGAUAUUAAAAAUUAAAAAUUUAUUAUUUUAAUAUAUUUCCAAUUAAAAAUCACUUUUAAAAAUAUAAUAUAUCACAGUAUCUAACACUGCUUCGGUGGGCUAAGUUGUUUAGGUGGAAGUCUCAUUCGGUGAGCUGAGUUGUAUCAAAUACAUAAAUUAUUUAUAAUUUUACAAUAUAUAUAAUUUUUUUUAUUUUUUAUUAAAUAAUAAAUAGUAUUCAGGCUAGGAAUCCUCGAAUAGAUACUUAAUCUAAUGUUUAAAAUAUAAAUAUGUAAAUUUUUUAUUUGAUAAAUAAUAUAUAAAUAUAACACAAAUUCAAUUCAGCCAUAUCUAUUGUCAUCCUGAAUUUUAAUACUCUCACAAUCAACUAUUUAAAAACUUUCAAAAUGUUGGGAAUGAUGGCAUUAAAAAAUAAAAUAAAAGGCAUUGUUAUUUCAUUAUCCCAAGACAUAAUAUAUUAUAGAGUGGAACAGUAAAAUAAUCAUUUUAUCUUUAUUUUAUAAAAUUGUCGAAUUAAUUUUUACUAGGUUCAUUGGUCAUUAUCAAAUUGAUUAAAAAAAAUAAGUUUUUAUUUUUAAUUUUUUAGUAUAGUAAAAUAAUUGAAUUACCUUUUAAACCAAAAAACAAAUUAAAUUAGCUUCUAGGAGCUUUUCAUUUAUUUAAUUUAUUUUAAUACAGUAAAAUAACAAAAUUACUUUUAUAAGCAUUGGCUACAAAACUCACUUUCAAAGGCUUUUUUUGUCUUUUCAAGCUAGCUUUUUGUUUAUUUUCAAGUUGAUUGAGAGACUAUUUAUUAUUUUAAUAAAUAUAAAAUAUUAUUUUAAAAAAAAAUGAUUGGCAAAUGAGUGAGUAGGUGAUGCUCGUACUCUUUAGACGGUGCAUGAGACAUUGUUAAGUGUCCAAACACUAUCUUCCAUGAUGACAUUUAAAUCGACAUGAUAUCCCCACCAUGUCUGGGUGGCUCAUGUAGCCAACAAGCUUUUGGUUUGGUGUCGACAACCUUUUUUGUUUUUUUUUCUCUCUCCUCCUUAAGUUUUACACUUGACUUUCAAAUUUUCAAAGCAGACUUUCAAUUUAUUUUUUCUUUAGAUUUAGUUCAUGUUAUUUUUAUUAUUAUUUGUUUAAUUUAGAAUAAUUUAUAAAAUUGGUUUUUUUUCAAUUUUACCCCCUUCAUUUUUUAUAUAUGUUAGAUUCGGUCUUUAUUCUUUUAAUUACUAUUAGUUUUAUUUAAGAUAAUAUUUUUUACAAUUUCAUUUUUUUCAAGUUUUUUUUUUCUAUCAAAUUUGAUUGUCAUUUUUUGGUUUGCUUGAAAUUAUUUGGUUUUUUUCUAUCAAAUAUGUUUGUUCUUUUCGAGGGUUCUCUCCUUUUCUGAUUUAUGUUGUAUAGAUAUGCUAUAUCCUUCGUAACUCACCAAUAAAUAUUUGACCUCUCAACAGUGACUAAAUACGAUUUCUUUAAAUUUAGUCAAAACUUGACUUUUAGUUUGUUUGCUAAAAAAUAAUUUUCAUGAAAAGUUAAUUUCUAAAGUUGAACAAAGAUUAAAUUAUCAACAAAAAUUUUUAAAUUUCAUAAAUUAUUUUUUUUAAAAAUAACAAUUAAAAUAAUAGGGACCAAAUCUGACAGAUGAAAAAAUUGAAAGAGGAUAACAUUAAAAAAAAAUCCAAUUUCAUAAAUUAUUUCAAACAAAAUAAAUAGCGAUAAAAAAAAUGAGGACCAAAUUUAAUAUAUAAAAACAUUUAAAAAAAAAGAAUAAGAGAAAAAAUAAAUAACAAUAAAAAGAAUGAGAAUCAAAGUUGAUAUAAAAGUCAAAUUAAAUCAAAUUCUAAGGGAUGAAAUUGAAAAACAAAUUCGAAAAAGAAUUAAAAAAAAUGUAUAGCAAUUAAAAGAUUGAAGAUCAAAUUUGAUAUAAUCAACAAAUAACAUGAUAUUUUUAAAUUUUUUAUAACGUCUAAAAAGUAUAGUUUUAUGCGCACCUGAGUUGUAUAUAUGGGAAAAAGGUUGUUAAUUUUUGUCAAUAUCAAUUUUAAUCCUAGUACUUUUAAUUUUAUUUUUACAAUAAUUAAAAAUUUAAUUAUAACAAAUUAACCUAUUAUUUAAUUCCGGAACAAUCUCUGACACCUUAGACACGUUUUUUUUGGAUUCGAGGAAACCUUAUCUCCCGGAAAGGGCACUUUAUCAGCUCAAGUGAGCGAGUAAAACGUCGGCUAUUCCAGGCUCUUACAAGAGGUGCACGCCCUGAUUCGAAAUCGAGACCUGCUGUGCAGAUCUCAAGUCUUUUCCUAUCAUGUCACGCCCCUUGGGAUCUUAGACACGUGAUAACAUGCAAUCUAAAAAGAAUUAAAAAAAUAUAGGACAACUACAUCCUGACUUUUGAGUACAAAUUGAAAGAAAUAUAAAGUUCAUUGAACAAUGUGGUGAGCAUGAGCAACAUGGUGAAAUUCCAAUCUCCUUUAGUAUCUUCGUUAAGCUUUAAAGUGUGUGCAUGGUGCAUAUAAUUAAAUAAGGUGUCGGCAUGGUCACUUUAGGUUAUCUUUUUUCUUUUUCUUUUGUCGAACAUAGGUUGCACAAUCAGCAUAGAUGGAACGCAGUCCCGUCCAAGAUUGCUAGUUUUCUUUUAUUUGUUUUUGUUAAUUUUUUCUUCAAAUUUAAGUUUUUGUUUUUUAAAAAUAUUUGUAUGGGCAUAAAAAUUGGGUGAUAAAACUCUUAUAGAUGAAUAUGGUUGCUUAAACUUCUAAGGAUGUUUGGGAGUAUGGUAGCGGUUGUUUUUUAAAAUAUUUUUUAUUCUAAAACACAUUAAAAAAAUAUUUUUAAAAAAAUAUUUUUAACAUCAGUACAUCAAAAUAAUAUGAAAACAUAAAAAAUAUAUUAAUUUAAAAUAUAAUAAAAAUAAAAAAUUUUAAAAUUUUUCAAAAACAAUUUCCAAAUGCAGUGCUCACUGCAGUAUGUCGUGGUGGUGUGAUAAAUUUCUUAAAGGCAUCCUAAGAUUGAGAAGAUUAGAGAAUUUGUUGGUCGUCCAAUUUGAUAAAAGAUCGAUCAAUUGCUAUAUUUCAUGUAUUUUCCCUACUUUUAGUACGGAUGAAAUACUAUAUUUCAUUCUCAAAUAAAUCGAGAAAUUCUAUUAAAAUACAAAAAAAAAUAAAAUUGAAAGAGUAAGUUAUUUUUUAGUAUCCUGAUAUCAUAUAAUAUUUUAUAACUCAAUCUCCGUCACAUAAACUAAAUAUUAAAAUAUAAUUUCCAAACUCAAUAUUUUUUCAAGUAAUUAACAAGAGAGCUAGCCUUGAUAUUUUAGUUUUUGUUACAAGGUCUACUAGUUCUAUUCAAGAUUUCCCACUGAAGAAAACCCUCCCAACCAAGUAAAUCAAACCCUCCUAGUUAAGUACUACCAUAAUUGACUGUGCGUGUCCCCUUCCUUUUUUAUUCGUUCUUUAUAUAUAUAUAUAUAUAUAUAUAUAUAUAUAUAUAUAUAUAUAUAUAUAUAUAUAUAUAUAUAUAUUAAGAAAAAUAAGAUGGAUGUUUGAGAUUUCAGUAGUGAUUGUUUUUUAAAGCGUUUUUUAUUUAGAAAUGUAUUAAUUUUUUUUAUUUUUAAAAAAUUAUUUUUGAUAUCAAUAUAUUAAAAUGAUCUAAAUAUAUUAAGAAAAAUUAAUUUAAAAUAAAAAAAAUAAAAAAUUUCACCUUAAUUGAGUGUUUGUGUGUGUCCCUUACACUCUUUAUCUCGUUUUCUGAAGUGUUCAAAUCAAAGCCUUCGUAGUGAAGUAGUUUAAUUGAUUGUGUGUGGUCCCUUUCCCUCUUUCUUUGUUUAUGCAUUCAUUCGAUCUCCAAUUUAUCCUGUGAAGGCCAAUAAUGGAGAUGCCCUUCCUAUUGCCAAAGCAUUGUACAAAAAAGUAUUUUGGAUGAUAUUUUACUUUUUUAAUUGUCUAAAAACAAUGAUUUUUUAAAGAAAAUUAUCACAAUAAGAUAGAAAUCUAUGGGCUAUGCAUAUAUUCAAUCUGGUUCUUCAUUUACUAGUAGUAGUAGUGCUCAAUAAAGGAUUCAUAAUAAUAAUGCUCAAUUUAUUUUUCAAAAUAUUCAUUGUUCAAAUUCAACCUUUAUUUAUUUUCUAUAAAUAUUUUCCUCCAGUUCUUUUCCCGCUUUAUUCUUUCUUUCUUUCUAUAUGGGGUUCUAUAUAUACAUUCUCGCAUUUGUGUUGUAACAAUAUAAUACCUCCAGAACAGAGCUGCUGUUGCACGAUCAACAACAGUUUUUAACUCUCAGGCACGAUCGUCCCUCUACUGCUUUAAUCAUACUCAGUUUCUUCAUUUUUGGGUCUUAGUUCUUAGCUUAAAUAAAUCAUUAUUACUAAAAUGAUCGACUUAAUCAAUUUAUUGCAACAUUAGUUUAUCUGGGUUGUUUCUUUUUUCUUUGUAAUUCAUGUUGUGAUCAUCUGUGACUGGAUUUUUCCUUCUUUCCUUCUUUCUUCUGGGUUCUUGAAAUAGCAGAAUUUCUUUUCUUUUCCUGUAGGUUUCUUUCUGCCUACUUGUUUCAAUAAUGUGUUCUUUUUGGGCAGCCAGGCUACAUACGUUUCCUGUAAAUUUGAUGGCUUACAUUCCUCCACACAAGCGGCAUUCCAAGGAUGUGAGAACGGGAUCCCCGAUUCCAGAGGCACUGCACCCUCAUUUUCAAAGAAAUAUGAAUUUGAGAGCAUCCACUUCUCGUAAAAAAAAGAGUGGAAAGAUUGUUUAUGCAGACACUACCAUGUAUAAAUGGUUUGCUGUUGGCUUGGAUGAUGAUGGCCAGUUUCCUCCUUACAUCCAUCUCGAGCCGAUUUCCUUUGAAUAUAUUGAGCGUAAAACUGGAGAAAAGUCUCUGAUCUUGGUGAAUAGCAUUGUAACUGAAGGUUGCUGUUCCAUCCUUUUCUGUUAGUUGCUUCUUCGAUCCCUUGAAUGGUGUUUGAGUUAAAUGUUCUUAUUAUAAAUUUUGUAUUAAAUUUCAUGCAAUGAAGAGGAUCGCAAACUGGAAAGGAAUUGCAACAGAAGUCCAUGGGAGAUUAUAGCGGAAAACGUACAGCAAGAACUACUCUCUUCUUUCGAAAUUUUGAGGAAUGAAAUGGAUGAUCAGGGUUCUGAAAAAAUAAAGCCAGAAUUGGUUGUUCGAUUUGGAAAAUUCGCUUUUCGUGGGUGUGCAAUCCAACUUCUCUCUAUAGAUAUUGCAAAUUGAGUUAAUGUUAAUUGGAACAUCAUCUUUUUCCAACUUAUGAUGCCUUUUUAGAUGGAAGGACACAGGAAUCAUUAUCUGUUAUGCAACUGAAAAUUGCUUAUGUUGUGAAGUUGCCUGGAAUUGUCUCUGUUUAUUCUCCAUGACAUACUCAAUGAACUAAGGGAAGAACGUACGCAUAUAAGUGUUUGUUCCUCCAUAUAGGACCUCGACUGGAGUUAAUAUUUUGAUUUGGUUUGUGUGUAUCAUAUGACUUGUUUUGCUCUAGUGAUUGCUUUGAUCGCUGCCAAACAAAUUCUGCUGGUGCUCUAUCAGUGUAACGUAGAUAUUGUUGAUAUGCAUAUAUUAGAAGCCAUAACUGCCUAUGUUAAAUGAAAUUCAUAUCCUCCAUCAGUGCAAGAAUUAUAAUACAAAUUGUGUGAUGCAGGAGCUAUUCAAUGAGACUAGAAAGUGUCGAUAAAAUUCAGGUUGAAGAAGCCAUUCUCAGACAACUCAACAAAUCAUUUUACACAAAUAUUCCUUCUUCUUAUAUGGAAAAUAUUAUAGAUGGAGUGGUCCCAGCGAUUGGAGUUGAUUUUGAAGAGGAGAAAGAGGUUUACACUGUAAAGGUAUCCCUUUUGCUGCAUACCGACUCUUGGUAGUGUUUUUCUUAUGUUUUUAAUUCAAUUUGUCAUUAACUUUUCUUCCUUCAAGCAGUUUUCUGAUAAUACACGGCCAUAUGCAACUGUUUUAUGCAAAUGUAUUGUGCUGGAAGAUAAAAAACUUCACCUCUACAAGGCAGGUUUUGUACUACCUAGAGUACUCUUGUCCUCUCAUGUUAAUUUGUGCAUAUUAUCAAUGUUACAUCGUGUAAUCUCAUGCACACCUUCUGAUAUUCACUUAUCAAUUUAAGAUGGUUUCCAGUUUUAUACCUUUGCUUGGUUCAUUAUAAAUUUAAGAUGGUUUCCACUUUUAUACUUCUGCUUAUUCAUGGAGUAUUGAAGUUUAAAGAUUUCUUGCAGGUUAAGCUAAAAAAAGUGCGCCAGAUGGUCAUAGAUGUAUCAUGUCUUGAUAAGAAUCUGGACCUCAGGCUAAUGCUUUGCUCCAGGAGGAUCUUAACAGCUCCAACUGUAAGUUAGCAAAAGCAAUUCAGAUACAAUCAUACUGCAUGAUUGUUAGACACUCAUUGAAGCACGAAGUGUCUUGGGCUCUGCCCAAACCCAGCAGAAACUUGUUAGUGAGAAAACUUGAGCAAGCUUCCUCCCUUUGUAUUUUCCUCCAAUUACAAUCUUAAUUGUGUCUAGCCAGUGCUUUCUCCAUUUCAAAGAACGCCCUGAUGGAAAAUAGCAAGUAAUCUUUAUCCUAGUAAUUAGUUUGAUCACACCUAGAAGAGAAGAUAUGUAAAACAAGCAUUGAGUAGGCUUGCACUAGCGAGAUAGGUUAACAAGACUAGAACGAAAUUUAGAAGGUUAAAACCAUAUUCCUGGAUAUUGGUCUUUCAUGCUUGAAAAAUUAAUGAUUUUCAUAGUUGGAACAAUGAUUUCCCUAAAUUUGCAUUAGAGAUUUUCAUCUAGAAUCUAGACAGCGCAAAGCUGCUAGUGAGUAAUUUAUUUCCAGCAUGAAAAUUUUAGUUUAUUAAGCAGAAGGCAAUGAUUUGGGAUUGGCUACUUAGUAACUAAGCCACAUUAUUCUUCUGAUAAUCAUAUUUACUGCUUAAAAGAUCAAAGCCAAGAAACUUCAUUGUGGUAGACAUAUAUUCUGUUAGAGAUAUAAUUGGAAUUUAACUCCUGAUAGUGACGCUGUGGAGUGACUGAUUGUAUGAAUCGAUGCAGGAUGAGGAGAUGAAUAGCCUUAGAGAUCUGAUCAAUUCUGCAGUUCUAGAUUCAGAUAUGAAGGGUGGAUUAAGAUGGCCCCUGGGGGAGGAGGCAUCUUCUGGUGGUAGAUAUAGUGUCAUUGGGGUUUGGCACACAGUAACCAAAGCCUAUAAAAGUCCAUCAUUUAGGCUGAUAGCAAGAGAUGCCGAUGGAUACGAUUUUAAGACUGGAAUUGGGGAAACUCUUAGAGAGAUUUAUCUGAAGUUGAAAAGAAUUGUUUCAGAAAUACAGGCAAGUUCCUUUAUUGGUUGACUUUUCCCUAAUUUGUUUCAUAUAAAACUUCUAAUUUGUGAGCUUUCUAAGACCCUAAUGAGAGCAUCCAGAGCUGACAGAUUUGUUAAACGCCUCGUCAGUUAGUUGCUCUUUAUUAUAAAUUAUAAAUUUCCAGAUUCAUGCCUGUGUUAAGCUGUGCUUUUAAUAUCUUCUAAAACUUUUUUCUUGUAUUUAAAGCUGCUUUUGUUGAAUUAUGAAGGAACCGGGAGCUGAAAGUGAUUCAAUCUCCAAAAUGCUCGAGGACAGCUUCAGCCUGAUAUGGGACAAGUUCUUAUGCUGCGAACGGUUUCUAACAUGAUCAUUCCAAUUUUAACUCUCUUUUCUUCCUCUUCAGCAUGGAAAGGGGGAGAGCCCCAUCUUGUCUGGAUCCUAUCCCAUCACGAGGCGCUGUUUGC